GGGUUUAAAGGGAGCGUAGACGGGAGAUUAAGUCAGUUGUGAAAGGCUGCGGCUCAACCGCAGCACUGCAGUUGAUACUGGUUUCCUUGAGUUCGGUUGAGGUGUAUGGAAUUCGUGGUGUAGCGGUGAAAUGCUUAGAUAUCACGAAGAACUCCGAUUGCGAAGGCAGUACACUAAGCCGAUACUGACGUUGAGGCUCGAAAGUGUGGGUAUCAAACAGGAUUAGAUACCCUGGUAGUCCACACGGUAAACGAUGAAUACUCGCUGUUGGCGAUAUACAGUCAGCGGCCAAGCGAAAGCAUUAAGUAUUCCACCUGGGGAGUACGCCGGCAACGGUGAAACUCAAAGGAAUUGACGGGGGCCCGCACAAGCGGAGGAACAUGUGGUUUAAUUCGAUGAUACGCGAGGAACCUUACCCGGGCUUAAAUUGCACUGGACAGGCUCAGAGAUGGGCCCUUCUUCGGACCAGUGUGAAGGUGCUGCAUGGUUGUCGUCAGCUCGUGCCGUGAGGUGUCGGCUUAAGUGCCAUAACGAGCGCAACCCCUGCCAAUAGUUGCCAUCAGGUCAUGCUGGGAACUCUAUUGGGACUGCCAUCGUAAGAUGUGAGGAAGGUGGGGAUGACGUCAAAUCAGCACGGCCCUUACGUCCGGGGCUACACACGUGUUACAAUGGGAGGUACAGAAGGCUGCUACCCGGCGACGGGAUGCCAAUCCCCAAAACCUCUCUCAGUUCGGAUUGGAGUCUGCAACCCGACUCCAUGAAGCUGGAUUCGCUA
rnacentral:rRNA from 1 species